ensembl:lncRNA
GUGUCAUUAAGAGGAGCAAGUACAUGGUGGAGAAAUGGAAGAGAAAGAGAAACAGAAGGAUGCCCGUCCAAUGAAGAGAGGCAAAACUGGAGACUCAAGGAUGCCUCAGCUCUCCUGUGUCAGUGGGGAUGAAGAAGUACUUUUUCCACAAAGGAAGUUUCCCUGGACAUAGAGAAAACAGUCUACACUGAACUCUACAGUCAACUUCCAGCCUUCUAGUUGAAGUCACAAGAAGAAAAAGUUCCCAGGACAUGAACAACACCAAGAAUAAACAUCAUAGAAUGAUGGAAGGGAGAAACUAGAAACUUGCCUUGUUUGGCCAAAGUCUGGCAUUAACAGAUGAGCAUGCAGAUGGGAGCCCACAGGAGGAAGCAUACAUUCUUGGGGAACACAAAUAUUGUGGAGAACUUACUAAAGGAGACAUAAACGGAAAUUGUGGAAGGAUCUUUCCCUUAUGGGUUCUAGAAUUUCUUCAUUAAUGGGGAAUGGAGGAGAGGAACACUUUGAAAAGGGUGCAUGAAGUGGGAGUCAGCAAAUAAGAAGUGGU